rnacentral:rRNA from 1 species
GAGUUUGAUCAUGGCUCAGAUUGAACGCUGGCGGCAGGCCUAACACAUGCAAGUCGAGCGGGGUCAAGGUGCUUGCACUUUGGCUUAGCGGCGGACGGGUGAGUAAUGCCUAGGAAUCUGCCUGGUAGUGGGGGACAACGUUUCGAAAGGAACGCUAAUACCGCAUACGUCCUACGGGAGAAAGCAGGGGACCUUCGGGCCUUGCGCUAUCAGAUGAGCCUAGGUCGGAUUAGCUAGUUGGUGAGGUAAUGGCUCACCAAGGCUACGAUCCGUAACUGGUCUGAGAGGAUGAUCAGUCACACUGGAACUGAGACACGGUCCAGACUCCUACGGGAGGCAGCAGUGGGGAAUAUUGGACAAUGGGCGAAAGCCUGAUCCAGCCAUGCCGCGUGUGUGAAGAAGGUCUUAGGAUCGUAAAGCACUUUAAGUUGGGAGGAAGGGCUGUAGAUUAAUACUCUGCAAUUUUGACGUUACCGACAGAAUAAGCACCGGCUAACUCUGUGCCAGCAGCCGCGGUAAUACAGAGGGUGCAAGCGUUAAUCGGAAUUACUGGGNGUAAAGCGCGCGUAGGUGGUUCGUUAAGUUGGAUGUGAAAUCCCCGGGCUCAACCUGGGAACUGCAUUCAAACUGU